rnacentral:rRNA from 1 species
UACGGGGGGGGCAAGCGUUGUUCGGAAUUACUGGGCGUAAAGGGCUCGUAGGCGGCCAACUAAGUCGGAUGUGAAAUCCCCAGGCUUAACCUGGGAACUGCAUCCGAUACUGGAUGGCUUGAAUCCGGGAGAGGGAUGCAGAAUUCCAGGUGUAGCGGUGAAAUGCGUAGAUAUCUGGAGGAAUACCGGUGGCGAAGGCGGCAUCCUGGACCGGCAUUGACGCUGAUGAGCGAAAGCUAGGGGAGCCAAACGGG